GCCAGGAUGGUGGAAUUGGUAGACACGUCGGAUUCAAAAUCCGAUGCUAGCAAUAGUGUGAGGGUUCAAGUCCCUCUCCUGGUA
rnacentral:tRNA from 1 species